UACAGAGGGUGCAAGCGUUAAUCGGAAUUACUGGGCGUAAAGCGUGCGCAGACGGUUGCGUAAGUCAGAUGUGAAAGCCCCGGGCUCAACCUGGGAAUUGCAUUUGAGACUGCGUAGCUAGGGUGCGGAAGAGGGAAGCGGAAUUUCCGGUGUAGCGGUGGAAAUGACGUAGAUAUCGGAAGGAACACCAGUGGCGAAAGCGGCUUCCUGG
rnacentral:rRNA from 1 species